rnacentral:misc_RNA from 1 species
GUGGGAGGGGGCUUGCCCCCGAUGAGGAUGUCUCAGUCACUGUAUGUGUUUCUGAUCCGCCGCCAUCGGGGGCAAGCCCCCUCCCAC